CACUACGCUGGCUGCUUUCGUCCAGGAAUCCACCCAAAGUCUAUAAAAGUCAGAUCGCUAAAUUGUUCAUAUAAAUCCAUCCCUGCCGGUCUGUCCCCUCGACUCAGGGAGAAGACAAACCUAGAAAAAACCAGCCCAUUUCCUCCUGCUGGGAGCCCUUCUUGUUACCUGGCAGGACUAGGGAAGGAAGGAAACUUUCCCAAACGCCUCUUCCAUCUGCCCGCCUCCCUCUGCGCUGGGUCCGCCUGUGGGGUGGCCGCGGCCGUCCAGGGCUCCACAGCCCCACCGCCGACCCUGAGCCCCGUGGAAGCUUUCCAGGUUAGCCCGCAGAGGGUUCUGCGCUGUAGACAGGCUGCCCCUUAGAGCCCUGGAGUGGCACACGCGGUCUGGGCUCCAAGUCAGCCUGGAUUUCAGUCCCGGGGUUGCCGUUUCCCCGGCAAAAAGCCUCAGGCCAGUGACUUAACCUCUCUGAACCCUGAGAUGGAGCUAUAGGGACAAAUCUCAGAGCGGGCGUGGUGAGGACCAGCCCUGGCCAACGUCUCCGUCUUACUGUGGCUGGCACUUUGUAAACCACAGCUGUGCGGUACCUCAGCGAAUCCUCGCGGGAACCCAGGCAUCCUGGCUCCAAAGUCUGUCCUUAACCACGUCGCUCUCCUCUUUUCUCAAUUAAACGGCAGGGAAGGGUGUGAAUGGGGGAUGCGGAGCAGGCGACCCCUAAACCCUCGUUUGCUCCUCUCUGGCACGGACACACUCGCCCAGUGCAUACCUUUGUCUCAUAGCACAUUUGAUGCCUGUCAUGAUUUGUUUUCCCUGGGUGCUCAUUUUCUGUUGGAGUUGAGGUGUAAACAGUGGGGGUUUUGGCAUAGACGGUGUACACAAAGCGUGGCCAGGUGGUAGGGGAAGUCUGAUUUUUUAAAAAUUACAGUUGAUGGGCAAUAAUUGUGUUAUUGUCAGUUACAUAUUUGAGGGGAUUAUUUUCCUUUAUAGGUUAUUAAUGGUAUUGACUACAAUUCCAUGCACAGGCAGCUUUUGUAUUUUAUAUACAGGAGUUUAUAUCUGCUAAUCCCAAACUCCUAGUUUGUCUCUCUCCCCUCCUCCCCUUCGGUCACCAUAGGUUUUUUUUUCUCUGUGCGUGAGUCUGUUUUUCUUUUGUAGACACAUUCAUUUGUAUUCUUUUUUAGAUCCCAGGUAUAAGCGAUAUCAUAUAAUAUUUGUCUUUUUCUGUCUGACUUACUUCAGUAAAUAGAGGAUAUUGGAGUUCCCUGGUGGCACAGCAAGUUAAGGAUCUGGCGAUGUCACUGCAGGGGCUUGGGUCGCUGCUGUGGCGCGGGUUCGAUCUCUCAAGGGAUGACAGUGGCAGAAACUCAGAAACAUCUUCAGAGAUAGAACAUCGCUCCCUGUCCUUUUUUUCUGGUGACACAGGGUUUGUGCCCCUGCGACUCAGCCGUUCCUUUGGGGACUUUUGGAUCUGGUUUCCUCCCAUUUCAACACUGAUUGGCUUUCUUGGCUUCAUUCUGGAAACUUACCGACAAUCCCCAGCGCUUAACAGUCUCAGACGCUUAGAAGCUGGAAAGUUCAGGGGCCUUCAAACAUCUUUUGGAAAGAGGCUUAGGGCUUUUCUUUCAAAAGAGAGCAGAUAUUGUGGGCUGGGGGGCCUGGGAAAUGGACGGGAGGGUUGAGCCCACCUGCUGUCUCCACUUCUGUAACUUCUCUGAACUAAGCCCACAAACCAGAGAUCAAGUCCAACUCCAUCAUCAUCACCAGUGACUCCUCAUACAGUGGCCAGUUCUACCCCCCUGGGACCCCAUAAUCAGAGGCUUCUGACUUCCCACAUGGGGGCGGUGUCCUGUGGAUAGGCUGCCUGGGGUCCAUCAGCCCUCAAAAUGGUAUAUAGUACUGAGCUACAUGCUUUUUCCAGGAGAGAGGAUCUAGAGCCUUCAUUAAAUUAUUGAAAGGCUCUUCACGGAUCCCAAGCAUCUUGAGACCCUCAGAAGUCAGAUGGGCAGGGACCUUGUGACGUCCCCUCCAGCUCACAUACUCUAGGGAUGUAUGAGAUGAAAAUCCUCAAAGAUCUGAAUGCAGUGCUGCUGCUCUUGUAAACACGAUGGACUGAGAGGGUUCCAAAAGGCGCCAUCUGUGACUUCCCCAUGCAUUACUCUAAUGUGGUUCUAAUAUGGUUGGUUUUUGGUUUUGUUUUGUUUUUUUGCUUUUUAGGGUGGCACCUGCAGCAUCUGGAAAUUCCCAGGCUAGGGGUGGAUUCAGAGCUGCAGCUGCAGGCCUACACCACAGCCACAGCCACGCCAGAUCCGAGCUGUGUCUGUGACCCUAAACCAUAGCUCAUGGCAAUGCUGGAUCCUUAACCCACUGAGCGAGGCCAGGGAUCGAACCCGCAUCAACAUGGGUAGUAGGUGGAUUUGUUUCCACUGCACUGCAACAGGACCUCCUGUAAUAUGGUCUUGGGGGGGAAGGGGAGAUGCUGUCUUGAGGCAGUUCUGAGGUCCUUGGGGCCAGUCAGUUCUUCUUCACCAGCUAAGUUCACACUCCCAUCUCUUCCCUAUCAGGCUCUCACACUCUGGGCCACUAGGUAGCUGCCUAGGGCCAGGUACCAACAACGGAGGGACAGCGCCCUUACACUGGAACUUGCAAAAUUAUUCAAAUUCGGCAACCCACAGGGGGCCUGAGAAAGCUGCCUAGCCCACCCUGCUCGCUGGACCUAAGCUCUCCUACAGCGCCAGCUUGCUGUCACCUUUCCUCUGGGGCAGCUGCUGUGCAGCCCUGCCUAGAAGGCUUUUCCCCUUUGGAGCCGGCUUUCCUCUGAGUGUCACUGGGUUGUGACUCUCCAUCAAAAGAAACUUUAUAAAUCUUAUAAAAUAACCUACACUUGUAUCUACCCACUCACUCAUCUAUCCAUCCAUCUCACCUACUCUCCCACUCACCUACACUUGUAUCUACCCACUCACUCAUCUAUCCAUCCAUCCAUCCAUCCAUCGAUCCAUCCAUCCAUCCAUCCAUCCUCCAACCCACUCAUCCAUCCUCCCAUCCAGCCAUCCCUCCCUCUACCCAUCCACCCAUCUACCCACCUUCCUGUUCAUCCAUCCAUCCAUCCAUCCAUCCAUCCUUCCACCCACCCACCCACUUGUUUAUAAGGCGUCCCCGUAGCUGGGCUGUGCAUUGUUAGGUGGAAGUGAAUGAAUCAGAUGCACCCGUGCCUGGGAGAAGCCUACUGGAGGCCAGUCCCCUGCCCCGGGGGCAGAGCCUGGGUGGGGAACCAUUUCAAAAGGAGCUUCUCUUGGAUUCAGUAACAACCCGCAUUCGUUGAUACCUGGAUCAGCAGGUCUUUUGUACUUCAUUGUGGCUGUGAGAAAAUCUGGUUAAACCCUUCCUGCAAGAUCUGACACUACUGAUCUUUCACACGCCUUUCCAUUCAUUGGCUUGGCUGGGGUCACGAGCAGACUCGGUCCUGCCAGGCCUCCGGCUCUGGCCAGCCCGGCUCUUUUCAGGGAGAACUAGAGGAGGGACCAAGUCACUCUUGCAUAAUACCGAUGACCUCCCCGCUAAGCCAGGGCCCCUCUGUGGCUGGGCCUCUCCAUCUCCCAUCCAACCCCACGCUUUAUCAUCACGAGCCACUUAAGGCACCACCGAAUGCAGCGGCUCGAACCUGCCCCCGGACCUUUGCAUGUGCAUGACCUCUGCCGGGAGCGCCCUUCCUGGGCCCUCAGUUAGUAAUUCCCGCCCUUCUCUGAGGGGUCUUUUUUUGCUGUGCCUGGCGGGGGCUGCACCCCCUCUGCACUCAGCACCCAGGCCAUCUCUCUCCACAGCUCUGGGCUUUUCCUCUGUGCCCCUGGAUGUGAACCCCACGGGCAGGGACUCUUGUCUUAUUCAUCACUGUCUGCUUAGCCUCCAGCACACAGCAGGCCCCCUGAGAGCUCCUGCCGAUGGAAUGAAGACACAACUCAGUCUAUGGGAAGAAAAGUCCCAAGUCCAGCCCCGUGGUGGUGGGGAAAAGCCCCCACAAAACUAAACAGCAAAAAAACAGGCUAGGCCUGUGGGCACAUGUGGGUUUUUUGUUUGUUUGUUUAUUUAUUUACUUAUUUUUACCUAGGUCUGCCCCUCCAUCCUAACGUUCUGGAACAUUCUCUCCAAAGGUCUGUGUGUGAGGCUGAGGCCCCAGAAUUUCCCCCCUGGGAAGGUCACUUUCCAGGGGGCUCCUGAGGGGUUGUGCUUUUGUCCAGAACUCUACAGUCUGGAUCAGAAAGCAACCCCUGUUCUCUGUCACUCAGCAGGUGCCUGGCGAAUGGCUGCUGUGCUGUGCACACCCCAGACAGGCCAGUCCUGAAAAUCUGGGCCAGCACUGAUUUGCUGCUUCAGAGCAAAACACACUAAGCCUGUACUGCUGACUGGUUGGCACUGAUGCCCACACCCAGGGGCCCUGCGGAACACUCCCCAGCUGACGUGUGACCCCCUCCGUUCUGCCUCUGUCCCCUCCCCCAGGGGCCCCCACGGGCCUACAGGAGACCAUCCUGGGGCACAGCUUCUCCUCAUUCCUCAGCUCCGGCCCCCAGGUGACCCGCUGCCCAGGGGUAAGUUACUGGCUAUUUGAUGUCCUUCAGAGUAAAGGAAAAUUAAAAAUUUAAAUUAUUAGCAGGUGUUUUGCUGCUCACCUUUAUAUAACCCCAGGCUGCUUUAAGUGCAAAUAUCAGCCCAUUUAGCUCCCACGCGAAAUCACCGAAAUAACACCAUUUAUGUUUUAUAGGUUGUCCGUGCCUAUGUAUUUUGUUCUUUCCAAAACAGUGGAAACACUGCAGAAAACAAACUCAUCUUUUAUUUACCAUUUUUUUCUCUUUUUAUGGAGGUGCCACAGCCACCGGCCCACACCACAGCCACAGCAAUACCAGAUUCCAGCUGCAUCUGUGACAUAUGAUGCAGCUCACAGCAACGCCAGAUCCUUAACCCACUGAGUGAGGCCAGGGAUCGAACCCACCUCCUUACGGAUCCUAGCUGGGUUCUUAACCUGCUGAGCCGCAAAAGGAAUUCCUUAUUUAACUUCUUGAAAUGGGGUUCCCCCCCAAUUUCUGUCCGACUUCACCUUCCCAUGUCCCCCUCCUCAGACUUAGAGAGUGAGUGACACCCUUGCUUUCCCGGUGUGAACAUCAGCAGUAGGAGAGGUAGAGAGGCUCUUGACGGAGGAGGUGAGGGCGGGGCCCAGGGAGGCCAGUCCUUCCUCUGUCUAUCUGUCUGUCUGUCCACCUCCCUGCUGCCCUUGGAGGUGGCUGGGGGCCCGGCCCUGCUGGACGGGCAGAUGGUCAGUCACUCGGAUUUGGAGGGAAGGUGACCUGGGGCUGCCCGCCAGCCUGGCCAAGCUUCCUAACGCUGUCCUUGGCUCUGGGGCUGUCGCCGCUGGUAGGUCUAGAGGUGAUUACUCACUUCCUGCUGGUGGGACGGCUGGCUGGGGGCUUCCGAGUUUGAGGCUGGUUCCUGGCAUCCCUGGCCCUUCUCCUGGGACUGACCGCUGAGCCAGGAUCCCUGGGGAGCCAACUUUGCCUGCAGGGCCCUCAUGCCUUCCCCUGAACCUGGUCCCCACCACCGCCCAGCCUUGGCAGCCGGCUGUCUGAUUGCCACCAGUCCGGCCCAGUACCCAGGCCUCUCCUCUCCCUUUCCUACUCCUUUCCCAUCAUCAGGAGAUGCUCAGAGAGGAAGUUUCCUCUACAAGAGUGGUGUCCUUGGAUUUAUCUGUUCAGGAUAUUUCAUGGAGGUGGAGUCCUACAACAUGUGACCUUUUGGGUCUGGCUUCUUAUGCUCAGUGUCAUGUUUCCGAGUUUCAGCCACGUGUUAGCACUGUGGCUGUGGCGUAGGCCAGUGGCUACAGCUCCGAUUUGACCCCUAGCCUGGGGACUUCCAUAUGCCAAAAGUGUAGCCCUAAAAAGAAAAAAGAAAGAAAAAAAAA
rnacentral:lncRNA from 1 species